rnacentral:rRNA from 1 species
UGAGCAAUCUGCCCUUCUCAUCGGAAUAAGCGUUGGAAACGACGUCUAAUGCCGAAUACGACCUCCUUUCGCAUGAUCGGAGGUGGAAAGCUCCGGCGGAGAAGGAUGAGCUCGCGGCCUAUCAGCUAGUUGGUGUGGGUAAUGGCCCACCAAGGCGACGACGGGUAGCCGGCCUGAGAGGGUGACCGGCCACACUGGGACUGAGAUACGGCCCAGACUCCGUACGGGAGCAG